rnacentral:rRNA from 1 species
CCUACGGGUGGCAGCAGUGGGGAAUAUUGCACAAUGGGGGAAACCCUGAUGCAGCAACGCCGCGUGAAGGAAGACGGUUUUCGGAUUGUACACUUCUAUCAAUAGGGAAGAAAGAAAUGACGGUACCUAAAUAAGAAGCCCCGGCUAACUACGUGCCAGCAGCCGCGGUAAUACGUAGGGGGCAAGCGUUAUCCGGAAUUACUGGGUGUAAAGGGAGAGUAGGCGGCAAGGUAAGCGUCAUGUGAAAGCCUUAAGCUUAACUUAAGGAUGGCAUAACGAACUUUCUAGCUAGAGUACAGGAGAGGAAAGCGGAAUUCCUAGUGUAGCGGUGAAAUGCGUAGAUAUUAGGAAGAACACCAGUGGCGAAGGCGGCUUUCUGGACUGAAACUGACGCUGAGGGUCGAAAGCGUGGGGAGCGAACAGGAUUAGAUACCCCAGUAGUC